rnacentral:rRNA from 1 species
UACGUAGGGUGCAAGCGUUAAUCGGAAUUACUGGGCGUAAAGCGUGCGCAGGCGGUUUUGUAAGUCUGGCGUGAAAUCCCCGGGCUAACCUGGGAAUGGCGAUGGAUACUGGGCAGCUAGAGUGUGUCAGAGGAUGGUGGAAUUCCCGGUGUAGCGGUGAAAUGCGUAGAGAUCGGGAGGAACAUCAGUGGCGAAGGCGGCCAUCUGGGACAACACUGACGCUGAAGCACGAAAGCGUGGGGAGCAAACAGG